rnacentral:tRNA from 1 species
UGGAGUGUAGCCAAGUGGUAAGGCAAGGGACUCUGACUCCCUCAUUCAUGGGUUCAAAUCCUAUCACUCCAACCA